CCGCAAGGGGCAAGUAGAGUGGCAAACGGGUGAGUAACACGUGGGUGACCUGCCUUCGAGCGGGGGAUAACGUCCCGAAAGGGACGCUAAUACCGCAUAACAUCCUGCCUUUGAAGAGGUGGAGAUCAAAGCUGGGGAUCGCAAGACCCGGCACUUGAAGAGGGGCCCGCGUCUGAUUAGCUAGUUGGUGGGGUAACGGCCUACCAAGGCAACGAUCAGUAUCCGGCCUGAGAGGGCGGACGGACACACUGGGACUGAGACACGGCCCAGACUCCUACGGGAGGCAGCAGUGGGGAAUUGUUCGCAAUGGGCGCAAGCCUGACGACGCAACGCCGCGUGGAGGAUGAAGAUUUUCGGAUCGUAAACUCCUGUCGAAUGGGACGAACAGAUUGCGGGUUAACAGCCCGUAGUCCUGACGGUACCGUUAAAGGAAACCCCGGCUAACUCCGUGCCAGCAGCCGCGGUAAUACGGGGGGGGUAAGCGUUGUUCGGAAUUACUGGGCGUAAAGGGCUCGUAGGCGGCCAACUAAGUCAUACGUGAAAUCCCUCAGCUUAACUGGGGAACUGCGUGUGAUACUGGAUGGCUUGUAUUUGGGAGAGGGAUGCGGAAUUCCAGGUGUAGCGGUGAAAUGCGUAGAUAUCUGGAGGAACACCGGUGGCGAAGGCGGCAUCCUGGACCAAUAUUGACGCUGAGGAGCGAAAGCUAGGGGAGCAAACGGGAUUAGAUACCCCGGUAGU
rnacentral:rRNA from 1 species